rnacentral:rRNA from 1 species
AGAGUUUGAUCCUGGCUCAGAACGAACGCUGGCGGCGUGGAUUAGGCAUGCAAGUCGUGCGCGAACGGGGGCUUCGGCUCCUUAUUAGAGCGGCGAACUGGUGAGUACAAGAUGAAUAACGUACCCUUAAGUGGGGAAUAACCUCGGGAAACCGGGGAUAAUACCGCAUGUGUUCGACGGUUUAGUUAUCGUUGAACAAAGCAGCAAUGCGCUAAAGGAUCGGUUCAUCUCCCAUUAGCUAGUUGGUGUGGUAAUGGCGCACCAAGGCAACGAUGGGUAGCUGGUCUGAGAGGAUGGUCAGCCACACUGGGACUGAGAUACGGCCCAGACUCCUACGGGGGGCAGCAGUCUAGAGGCUUCGUCAAUGCCCGAAAGGGUGAACGAGCGACGCCGCGUGCGGGAUGAAGGUCUUCGGAUCGUAAACCGCUUUUAUUAGGAAAGAAGAUUAUGCUCGUGAAGCAUAGUUUGACGGUACCUGAUGAAUAAGCCUCGGCUAACUCCGUGCCAGCAGCCGCGGUAAUACGGAGGAGGCGAGCGUUGUUCGGAAUCAUUGGGCGUAAAGGGCUUGUAGGCGGACAGGUGUGUCUGGCGUGAAAUCUCCACUGCUUACCAGGGAGGGUGCGUUGGAAACUGCUUGUCUGGAGUAUGACAGAGGGUCGCGGAAUUCCGGGUGUAGCGGUGGAAUGCGUAGAUAUCCGGAGGAACACCGGUGGCGAAGGCGGCGGCCUGGGUCAAUACUGACGCUGAGGAGCGAAAGCUAGGGUAGCAAACAGGCUUAGAUACCCUGGUAGUCCUAGCUGUAAACUGUGGAUACUAGGUGUGGGAGGUAUCGACCCCUUCUGCGCCGGAGCUAACGUAUUAAGUAUCCCGCCUGGGAAGUACGGCCGCAAGGUUGAAACUCAAAGGAAUUGACGGGGGCCCGCACAAGCGGU